rnacentral:rRNA from 1 species
GAGUUGGGCCUGCUCGGUGAGAAGAAAAAUUUAACAGCUGCGGUAUUAUAACUGUACUAAGGUAGCAUAAUAAUUUGCCUUAUAAAUUAAGGCUAGAAUGAAUGGUUUGACGAAAAUUAGACUGUCUUUGUUUUAUUUGUUAGAAAUUAAUUUUUAUAGUGAAAAAGCUUGAAUAAUUUAAGGGGACGAGAAGACCCUAUUGAGCUUAUUUAUUAAUAUUUGAAUAUAAAAUAUAUAAUUUAUAUUAUGUAAAUUAUAUGUUGUAAAUAUAUAUAUGUAUAUUUAAUUGGAGUUAAUUUUGAUUGGGGUGAUCAAGGAAUAAAAAUAAAGUAACUUCCUUAAAAUUAAAGAUUGUUUAUAGAAUAAUAAACCAAGUUUUUUGCUUAUAAGAUAAGUUACCAUAGGGGUAACAGCGUAAUUUUUUUUGAGAGUUCAUAUUGAAAAAAGAGAUUGCGACCUCGAUGUUGGAUUAAAAAUUACCUUAAGGUGUAGAGGCUUUAUUGGGUGAAUCUGUUCGAUUUUUAAAAUUUU